rnacentral:rRNA from 1 species
CCUACGGGUGGCAGCAGUGGGGAAUAUUGGACAAUGGGGGCAACCCUGAUCCAGCCAUGCCGCGUGUGUGAAGAAGGCCCUCGGGUUGUAAAGCACUUUCAGUGAGGAAGAACGCCUGGUGGUUAAUACCCAUCAGGAAAGACAUCACUCACAGAAGAAGCACCGGCUAACUCCGUGCCAGCAGCCGCGGUAAUACGGAGGGUGCGAGCGUUAAUCGGAAUUACUGGGCGUAAAGCGCGCGUAGGUGGCUUGAUAAGCCGGUUGUGAAAGCCCCGGGCUCAACCUGGGAACGGCAUCCGGAACUGUCAAGCUAGAGUGCAGGAGAGGAAGGUAGAAUUCCCGGUGUAGCGGUGAAAUGUGUAGAGAUCGGGAGGAAUACCAGUGGCGAAGGCGGCCUUCUGGACUGACACUGACACUGAGGUGCGAAAGCGUGGGUAGCAAACAGGAUUAGAUACCCCGGUAGUC